UGACAGGUUUUAUUCUCCAUUAGUUUUUAGCUCUUGAUAUUUAUUCAGUUGUUCAGUAUUAUAUAAAGAAAAUACAUCAGUAUCUCCUACAGGGUUUCUCAACAACUCCGUCAUCUGUUUCAGCUAUUGAACUGUAUUCACGUUUUGCCAACUUGAUGCCUACCCAGCUGGUCUAUCAUUUCUUGCUUGAUUACUGCUCUUAAUUUCUCUGUAUCAGCUUGUUUCAGACAGGAUUUUGAAAGCUGUUAAUGAGAAAUGACAGUAACUGCUAAAUUAUUGAAAACUGGAGUAUUCUGUUAUUUUUGAAACAUCAGAGAGCAUUUUUAUAUGCAUUUUAUUAAAUUCAGAUUCUGUAUUGCAGCAAGGUUAUCAUUUAAUCACUGAAUUUAGCUGUGAAUACUUUAAACUAUAUGAGUCACAAGCAUAACUUUCCACUGACUAUUUUGAGAAAGUUUGAGAAAAUUUACAGUUGCUUUCUUUGGUGUAUGCAUCAUCUUAAUAUAUGUUCCUUCCUCCUGUCCACUUCCUCCCUCCCUCUCUCUCCUACCCCCCUACCCUCCCCCAAUAUAUACUCCCUCUCUGUCACAGUAACUGGUCAUUAAGUGUAUACUGUACAUAUUGAAAUAUUUUUUUAUCACCACUAGGGUGGAAACACUAAGCAGCUCCGGACAGGUGAUUUGAACAGGUUUAAAACAGACGUCAGCUCUAUCGGAGUGGGUCACCCUCGAUCUCAGAAGUAAAAGUGGUGAUUUCUAAAUGUAAGGCAGGAUCUCUCUUUCCUUCCUCUUUGGAGUUGCAACAACCAUUCAAACACUGCUUGGUAGCUUGCAGGAGAUGAUUAUGUUAAAUUAUUUGCUUUAUUUUGCCUUGCAAAAUGCUUUUGUUCAAUGUAAACUCCCUUAUUCAUCAGGUAUAUAAUUUUUUCCAAGGUGAUAAACAACAAAUCUCUUGUCAUAUUAGAUAUUCAUUUUUCUGAUUUUAUUUUAAAUGAUUUUGCAGUCUGAACUCUAUGUAGUCUUGUCAAAAGGAGAACAGGCUAUUAGACACUAAAUGUUGCUGACUGAAGCUGUAACAGUUUGAGAAAGAUAGAUGCUUCUAGAUACACAGCAGUGAACCAGCCUUAGAAAGUUUGAAGGUAAAGAUCAAUAAAACUGAUAUACCAAUAGCUAUUUUGAGCGUUUGCCUGUUUUGAUCAUCUCUGAGAGACAUUGUAAAUUAUUUUGUAACUGCUGGGAGGGGAGAUAUACUUCUUAAUGGAGAGGUUCACUACAGGGCUUGUAUAGCCAAAAAUAGUUCUGUAGUUUUGAUGACAAUAAUAAAAAAAUCUUUAUUCUACUUCAAGGAAGUUCUGUUAAAUUUAGAAAUAAUUUUUCCUUGUUGUUGAUGAUGAAACCCUAGAGAGAAUAAGCCAUAUAAACAGCUUAAGUGCCAUUCACCUUUUCAGGGUAGCAGUAAAACUGUUUUAUAUCGCGUGUGUUACUUUUAUACCCCAGAAGCAGGUAGUCGCUCCUUGUCUCAAGAGUGUUGGCUGGCUAUCAUUGGACAGUAGUUACUUAAAAUGGUCUUUUCCUUGUGACACUGAAGGUAAUCAAAGAUGAAAAAAUAAUAAGGGAAAAGCAUCUACAUUCAACAAAGAGGACUAGGAAGCAAAAGAACGGAAAUAGAAGUAGAAAAGAGGAGAGAAGCAGCUGUAAGAGCCAGCAGAUGUUUCCACUGUAGAUACAAAAUUGGAUAUCUGCAUGUAUUUGACUGUCUUUAGCCUGAUGCACAUAGAUUUUCUAUUAUCCUUACAUAUAAAUCCUUUUUCCAUUCUGUCUUCCUGAAUUAAAUUGUAGAGCUGACAUGUUUCAAUUUAUAUAUAGAUGCGGGACCAGUGUUUGCAAAUCUCAUCUUGGAAGGGUGAUCUAAAAGGUGUCCAAGGGCACAGGAAGUUAUCACAUGUUGGAUGGCCAUAAUUAAGAAAAAUAUAAGGGGUUAUAUAUUGAGGGAGGUGGAAGCUGUUUGUAUCUGCUCCUUCAUAUGAUUCUGAUUAUUAAUCCCUGUCAGGGAUAAAAAAUACUUAGUCCUAGACAGUGUGAUAAUACAAGAAAAAUACUUUCAUUUCCACACAGAUUUACAGCUCUGUACCACAGAUAUAGUAUGUACAUUAAUUUGACAAAAAAGAGAGACAAAUCAGGGUUUAUUUUGAUACUUAGGUACAUGAACUGAAGAGGACAUCUUCAUGUCCUCUGUUGAGUGAAGCACUUGCAGGUUCAGUCAAUGCCUUGUUCUUAUUGCAGUGAAAGGGAAUUGGAGUCAGGAGAUGCUCAAGUCAGUGAGGAGAACUUGCCCAGGAGAGAAAUGACAGCUGUCUGACACUCCAGAAGUAAAGUUUUGAAGACUAGAGAUUAACCAUUUUGAGCAUUGUCCAUAGAAACUUGAAAUUUUAGUUCUGAGCUGGCAAUGUGAGUUAGAACGGCCUUGAAAAGAUGCUGGACAAAACCAAGUUGAGCUUGAACCUAUUGCUUGUUAGCGGAGCCUUGCAAGAAAGCAGUGCUGCAUCAUCUACCUGAAGAGACCUUCUGGUUAUGAGCUGCGCAGUUGAUGCUCAACGCCAUGAGCAUGUGAGGAGGUCAGGUAUAGUGCAGACAAAGUUUGUUAGUUUUCCAGAUCAUUCAGUGUUUUAUUGAGGCUAGACCAUGAUUAUUUUUUGUUGUUGCUGUUUUUAAUGGAUAGUUGUAACCAGAAACAAAGCCUUUGAAAUGUGUGAGGAUGUCAGUACUUCUACAUCUGCUUCCCGUACAGUUUUGACUGCCAGCACCCCGGGAUCUCUUUGCUUUGAAUGAGCUCAUCCUGAUGUGUCCUGAAUGUUUCUUCUGACAAGAUGAUGUGUGUAGUGUAGCAGCACUUGGCUUUCUGAUGCUGGUCAGCUGCUGCUUCACUCAGCUGGUGGUUCCUGCUGAACAAAUUCUAGUCUAGAAUUACCCACGGUGUGGGUGUUUGACCACCUUGGGAAAGGAUCAUGAGAAGCUGAGCCAGGAGAAGAAGGAAAUGUACUCCUCCUCUCUAUCACUAAGAUCUAUCCAUUGUAAAUUUCACUGGAAUGAGGAGGAGGGUAGGAGGAGGAAAAAUGGCAGUGAAAAGUGAGGAAUGAAGGGGCUUCAGGUGUUCAUGAGACUGUCAUUUGAUGUGGUCUAGUGUGAGAUGUCCCUGCCUAUGGCAGGGCAAUUGGAACAAGAUGAUCUUAAGGUCUUUUCCAGCCUUGAUCAUUCUGUGAUUCUAUGAUUUUAUAAUCACUUUGCAAAAAACUUAAGGAAAGGCACAUGUGGGAGUAAAGCUUGUCCAAGGGAUAUUAUUGAGCAUCUGGUUAUGCACUGCCAAAAGCUUGCUACAAAGAAAUAUUACAUCUAAUCAAAAUGUAUUAAUAGAUUAAGCCUAUUAGCAAAGAAGGAAA